rnacentral:rRNA from 1 species
CCGUGCCCAAGAGAUCGGGAUAACACCUGGAAACAGAUGCUAAUACCGGAUAACAACAGAUGAUGCCUAUCAACUGUUUAAAAGAUGGUUCUGCUAUCACUCUUGGAUGGACCUGCGGUGCAUUAGCUAGUUGGUAGGGUAACGGCCUACCAAGGCGAUGAUGCAUGGCCGAGUUGAGAGACUGAUCGGCCACAUUGGGACUGAGACACGGCCCAAACUCCUACGGGAGGCAGCAGUA